UGUUUUCUUCCACUUCCAGAUUGCUCUGUCACUGCCAAUUCCUCCAUCUACCUCCAUCAUCGCCAUUCACCAAACCACAAUGCUCCAGAUUCCUCUCCACCAAUCCCACCCCAUACUCACUCCAAUACGAGAUGAUCAUCAGCCGCCCCGACACCCCACAAACUCACCGACAACCGGUUCUACCCCACCCCAUACCCACUCCAAUACGAGAUGAUCAUCAACCGCCCCGACACCCCACAAACUCGCCGACGACCUGUUCGACAAAAUGCCAAUGACGCCCCUUCCGAACCGGACCAACCCGACGACUCGCUGCAGGGAUGGGCCAGCGGUAAACUAGCUUCAGACGCCGAAUUGGACCGACCCGGGUCGUCGAAAUUGGAACUUGACAAGGCUAAGAGGAAGUACUACAAUAAGCGGAGGAAGAGGAUGUAUGGGUCGGAUUCUGAGGAUGAGGGGAGGAGGCAUGAGGAUGGGUUCGUGGAGCUAAAACCGGAGGUUGUGGAGCUUCCUACAAUGCACAAGAGGGAGGAGGAGGUGUAUUUCUAUGAUGCAUUUGCUUAUCCGUGGGAGAAGGAGAAGCAUUACAAGAUGGUUUAUCAGUUGGAGAAGAAGUAUUUCCCUGAUCAGUGUCUUGAUAAGGCGUUUGUCGAACCGGGGCAGGUGAGUUCGAGUGCAAAUGUGAGUGGUAAGGGGAAGGGUAAGAGCAGAGUUGGUGGGGUUGUUAAGGGGGAGAAGAAAGAUGAGGAGGUUGAUGGUGUUGGUGAUGACAGGUUGGUGUUUUUUGAGGAGAAAAAGGAAGUGAAAGAAAAGGGUAAGGAUCUUACCGAGAAGAAGGUU
rnacentral:lncRNA from 1 species